rnacentral:tRNA from 1 species
UCCUCAAUAGCUCAGCGGUAGAGCAGUCGGCUGUUAACCGGUUUGUCGUAGGUUCAAAUCCUACUUGGGGAG